rnacentral:rRNA from 1 species
AUGGCGUCCGCGCUGCAGCCUGCACCUUGCCGGUCGCCUCCACCCCUACGCGUCCGCGCUGCUGCCUGCAAGUCGCCGGUCGCCUCGACCCCGUCGCGUCUGCACUGCCGCCUGCACAUGGCCGGUUGCCUGGCCCUAGUGCGCCCGAGCUACCGCCUGCAAUGCAUAUCGCCAUUCGCCAACACUACAUUGCAAGUGAAACUUGUACUUGAAGAAAAGUCCAAUGGCGUGGUACAAGAAGUGUCAGAAAUUAAGUGGCUUAUGUUUGGUACAUCUCUAAGUGAUAGUUCUCAUGAAAGCCAGCAUGAACAAGACUGA